AAAAACUUUCCAUUUUUGGAAACUUCAGUUACAGGUCACUUUCUAUUUUUGGCAGUUUUUGUCCUGACUUGAUUUUCUUCAUUCUUAAGCUUUGCAAUGUCAAAUAACACUUGUUCCAACAUGAAUGAAGUGUAUCCAACUCAUUUCCACCUCCAAAUCCAUCAGAUCAUGUACAGUUGACCACAGUUGACUUUUUCAACUGAUAGAUGAAUUUGGCAAUUGAUAGAUCAAUCUGAGCUCCAAUCCUCUGAUGAAAUGGCCCAAUGAUGAUACCCUAGCCUCAAUUAUCUCCAUAAAAUCACAUAAUGAACCCCAUAACCAUCAUAAACCCCAUCUCCUGAUUAUG
rnacentral:lncRNA from 1 species